CGGGUAUUAACCGCUAAGCCUUCCUCCCAGCUUAAAGUGCUUUACAACCCUAGAGCCUUCUUCACACACGCGGCAUGGCUGCAUCAGGCUUGCGCCCAUUGUGCAAUAUCCCCCA
rnacentral:rRNA from 1 species